ensembl:rRNA 5S_rRNA 5S ribosomal RNA
GUCUCAGGCCGUAUCAGCCUGAAGGCGCCCGAUCUCGUCUGAUCUCGGAAGCUAAGCAGGGUCGGGCCUGGUGUGGAUCUUGGAUGGGAGACCACCUGGGAAUCCCGGGUGCUCGAGGCU